GGGAGUCGUCGAGGCUGUCACAGCGGUGGAUCCUGAGCAUUUAUUGACCACCUCUACAUCCCAGGCACCAUUGCAUUGAUGGCAAGUCCCUGUCCUGGAGGAUCUUCCAUCCUAGUAGGCCCCAAACAUUUUGUGGGACAUUACAAAACUCACAUCCUCUGUGCCCAUGACUCUUCGUGAUUCCAGCAACCGUGGCUGAGGGGCCAGGCUCGCUGGCACCGUGAUGCGAGAGGAAGGACGAAAGAGGAUAAGUGAGGAAGAUGAGAACCGGGCGAGCCCUCUUACACUCUGCUCGUUCCACUUAGCUCACUGAUGGUAACUGCCCAAACGCUACUCUGUGAGGACUCAAGGAUACUCUCUUCCCAAAGCAAGCUUUUGGCUUUUUAAAGGCGUCUGGAUUUGUGAACCUCUGCGUGUCCCCUUGGGGCCCACUGCCCAUCCCGUGUGGUGCAACCUCACCCAGACUUCACGCCAAGCCACACCAGAGCUCAGCCUGACAAGCCCGCAGCCGAGCCUUCCUCUGAUCCUCGGGAAACAGCUCACCUGAACCUUGAGGACAACUCCGGUGUUUGUGCUGCUUCCGUGAGUCGCGUGACUGAUCCGCCACCCAAGGUGCAGGUGCGCCGUGUAUCUGCCUGCAAAUCCGCCUGUCCUCCCCGGCUCUGUCCCCGGAAGGUCCUGUCAGCACAGAUGAGUCCUUUCCUACUGGAGCCCCACGUCCACUCCUUGACUUUGAAGCACAGGCAGCCUCCCCAGGCCUAGCGAUACCCCAGGAUUCUGGUGGGUGAAAUUCCCUAAAUCGGCCUCCUGAAACCGCUCCUUUUAGACAAACCUCCAUCCUCAUUCAGAACAUCCUGCUUUUCUCCCAGCUGUCUUCAUCUGUUCUUCCUCCUAAAAGCCACAUUUCAUCAAAAUUUCACACACUACUCUCUUCUCCCAUGUUCUCAUCCUAAAACUGCUAAAGAAAAAUAUUUCACCCUUCCGUUUUAAUGUUUAAUGUACAAGUAGCAUUCUUUCCUCCUAUCAUUAACAUAUUUAAAAAUCCAGUUUUAUGCUUUUCACUGCAUCUCAUUGCUCUGGGGUGCCCAGCACCAUGGAGUAUAAGGCUGGCUUGUGAUCUGCUCCACAGUUCUGCUCCGCACAAAAGAUGUUCGAGACUUCAGAAGAGCAUAAAAAUUAAUUUUUCUUCCUUUGCAUUGAGUCCUUGGAUAUGUUUUGUACACACCUGUGUUAGUAUAGGGCCUCCCUUGUGGCUCAGCUGGUAAAGAAUCCACCUGCAAUGCAGGAGACCUGGGUUUGAUCCUUGGGUUGGGAAGAUUCCCCUGGAGAAGGAAAUGGCUCCCCACUCCAGUAUUCUGGCCU